UGCACAUCUUGAUUUGACUUAUUGACUUGUUUCUCUGGAUCUAUAGUUUGACUAUGCAAUAAAUGUCUUGUAAGUAUGUAUUAGCUGUCUCCCACCUAUGAGCUCCAGAUAUCAAAACCUUAUUAGAGUAGGGUGAGAGAGAAGGCAAUAUCACUAUGCCUUAUACCAAAAUACCACAUACUUUGAGAGAAGGCAUAUACCAUUACAGCCUU
rnacentral:lncRNA from 1 species